rnacentral:lncRNA from 1 species
GAUAAGUUUAGAGUCAAAAUACUUUCUUCUUCCCCAUUCCAAAACUUAUUAAAGUUUUUGAUGUAUGAAUUUUCUGUUAAAAAAAUAUAUAUUUAUAUACACAAAUAUAUAUAUAUAUAUAUACAUAUAUAUAUAUUUAUAAAUCCUUUGAGGGUUUGACAUACUAAUUUUUAAAAUAUCUUAAGGAAAUUAUGAAACAUUUUUAAACUUUUAAUUCUCUUUAAGAUUAUAUGGGCAGACAAGUUUAAAGAGUAUGUAUUUCUUCAGUUACAAGGCAACAUGUAUUUACUGUUGUUCAAUUAGAAAAAGCAAUUAACACCUGCCUAGUGAUAAGCUAUAUUGUUUAUUUUAUUUUUACAUUUUCAAACUAGAGCAUGCCCAUAAGGACUUCUACCUACUAAGGAGCAUAGAAUUAUUUUUUAAAGUCUGUUAAGAAUUGAUUGAAGUGUGACUUGACCUAAGGAAUUUCAUUCAGACAUAAAUAAAUAAAAGAAAGGAAACAUAUAUUUGCUUGUCUUCAAGUCUGAAAAUUAAGCUUUGAUCUACACUUAAAUUAAUGUCCCCUGAGAACAUCUUUUCUUAACUUUGUAAACAUUAUUUCUGAAGAAUACAUUCAUUAGCACGAAGGUUCAUUGUUUUUAUAAUGAUAGAAGCAAGAAUUGCUUUUAUUACCUUCACUAAAUACAUAUUAUCAAAUGUCACUUGCAUCUGUAUUCCAGAGGGAAUGUGAUUUUGUGUGCAUAUUUGUAGUUCAGAGGUAUAUAAAAUAUUAUAAAUAUUUAUCCUUUUACUCUUAAUUGAAUUUGAAUGUAAUAAAGUCAGAACAAUGGAAAUAGCAUUAGACCGGGAAGGGGGAAGGAAGUAAAUGGCACUUUGCCUACCACAAGCAGGUCUUAGUAAAAUGGGAUGGGGACCAUGAUACAAAUUCAGGACACUCCCAAAUAUGUAAAUUUAAUCAUUCAUUAAUCUACCCAUUCAUUAUUUUCAGCACUCAUAUAAUAAGUAUAUACUAUGUGUUGGGCAUUGUGCUGGCUGUCAUGUAAUGCACUAAUGAGAAAAAGAAAAGGACAAAAAGACACAUUGUGGUCAUGGAGAUUAUAGUAUUAGGAGUGUGUAAAGCGUAAUAACAAUUCUCCAAAUAAAUGUGAAAUGUACAAGUGUUAUAAGUGCUAUAAAAGAGAGCUACAUUACACUUUGAGAGCUUACAGUGCAGUCUAUUUAACCUUGUAGGAAGAUCAGGGAAGUAUUCUUGAGGAAUUAAAUGAGUCAUUCUUAACAUUAUAUGUAGUGCUUAUUAUAUAUCAGAAUUUUUUCUGGUUUUUAGCAUGAAUUAUCUUAUGUAGUCCUUAAAUAACUAUAUGAGCUUUAUACUUUUAUUACAUUCCUAUUAUUUGUGUAGACUUGAGGCUCAGAGAGCUUAAAUAACUUGCUGAAAGUUACACAACUGGUAAGUGAUACAGUCAGGAGUGGGAUCUAUUCAGUCUGGUGCCAGAGCCUGCCAUUUUAACCCCUAUAAUACACUAUCCCCCACUGAGAACCUAACCAUAAUGUCAAGAGGAGGAGUUUAUUAGGCAAGUCUCAUCAUGUUGAUUAAGCAACAGUCAUCAAGGGAACAGUAAAGAUAGUUCAGGAGAGAAGUAUAAUUAUAAUAAUUAUAACUCAAAUAUGCAGCGACCUCCUGAAUUAGGAAAAGAGUAAAAAGAAGAAAAAUGUAUAACUAGGCUUGAAUCUACUUGAUGAAAACAAUCAGUUUUCUUUUAAGUCUGCAUAAGAAUCUACACAAAUUCAAUGCAUAGAAUGAAGAUGAGUCAUUUUAAUAGAAAGAACCAUAGUGUAUGAUGGAAUACUCUGAAUCUACUUCUAACCUUACUUCUUAAAGCUGAAUGAUAAUAAGUGGGUCAUUUGUCUUCAAAGUUUGGUUUCUUUAUUUGUGUAAAAGGAACUGAACCACCUUUGCCCCAGUCAAAGGUACAUAGUCUUUUUCUCACAAAGGUCUAAAAUUGAAUUUUCUUUGAAGCUAACAUGUGCACUUAUAUUUGCUUCUGUUCAGCGAAAGUCUAUUGUUAAAUCAAUGCUAAAUCUUAAAAAGCGAUGUUUUCCAGUAUGGGGGUUCCUCAAAAAGGUAAAAGUAGAACUAAUCUAUGACCCAGCCAUUGCACUACUAGGUAUUUACACAAAGGAAACAAAAAUAUUGAUUUGAAGGGGUACAUGCACCCCAAUGUUUAUAGCAGUAUUAUCAACAAUAGCCAGAUUAUGGAAAGAACCCAAAAUCUAUCAACUGAUGAAUAAAGAAGAUAUGGUCUGUAUCUACAAUGGAAUAUUACUCAGCUAUAAAAAUGAAUGAAAUCUUGCCAUUUGCAAUGAUGUGCCUAGAGCUAGGGAGUAUUAUACUAAGCAAAAUAAGUCAGUCAGAGAAAGACAAAUUACCAUAUGAUUUCACUCAUAUGUGGAAUUUAAGAAAAAUAGAUGAACAUAUUGGAAGGGAAAAAAAGAGAGAGAGAGAGAGACAAAUCACAAAAAAGAUUCUCUUAACUAGAGAGAACAAACCAAGGGUUGCUAUAGUGGAGAUGAGUGGGGGAUGGGCUAAAUGGGUGAUGGUAUUAAGGAGAGCACUUGUGAUGGGCACUGAGUGUUGUAUGUAAGUGAUGAAUCACUAAAUUCUACUCCCCCGAAACCAACAUUACACUAUAUGUUAACUAACUAGAAUUUAAAUAAAAACUUGAAACAAAAAGCAAUCUUUUCAUUCAUUUGUUUAAGAAAUACAAACAAUAGAGCCUAUUUAUUUAUUUUGAGAAAGAGAGAGCAUGAGCAGGGGAGAGGCAGAAAGACAGGGAGACGAGAGAGAGAGAGAGAGAGAGAGAGAGAGAGAGAAUUUCAAGCAGGAUCCACAGUCUCAGGGAAGAGCCCCACCCGGGACUCAAUCUAACAAACCAUGAGAUCAUGGCCUGAGCCAAAAUCAAGAGUCAGAUGGUCAACUGAUUAAGCCACCCAGGCACCCCUUUUAUUUAAGAAAUAUAAAGGCCUAUUAAAGAUAGUGGACCAAUGCAGUGAACAAAAUAUAGCCUAUUUUCUAGAGCAGAUGACAAAAAUAGCAUGUAAGCCAAAUUAUAAAUAUAGUUUAAGAUAAUAAUUGAUUAUGAAACUUAUAGAGUUAUUAUUAAAUGGAUAACUCUAGCGUGGGUGGAAAUUAAACCUCUUUCUCAAAUAUACCAUUGGGAGGUGUGCCUUUGUAGAACAAUAUGUGAAUAUUCUUAAUAAAAAUAUAAAUACUUAUUUACAUGCUUAAGUUCUUCACUUUCUGAAUGCCAUACACAAAAGAAAAACGUGUACCUUUCAAUUAUUUUGUUUAUAUUAAUUUUUGCUGAAUAUGUAUCAUAUUUAUAUAAGCUACUCUAGUAGAGCUUCUAGAAAAAGAAAAUCAAUUGAUAAUAAAUCCUAUUAUAAAGUUUGCUUUUUCCUUAAGCAAAACAACUAAUAUCUUUGUAUAAACUCAUUUUUUUUCAAUCAUUGGAUUUAAGAGACAUAAUUACACUUCUAGUAUUUUCUAUUUCUUUUCUUCACUGAAAAUGUAUCACCUCACUCUGUCAAAGGGAUCAAAAGUUAUUAUCAGUUAAACACUCAGGAUCUCAGUAAUCUCUAACAUGCUCAAAGUUUCCAGCCAUCAUGCAGUAUUUCUAGUAACUACUCUUACAAAAAUACAUAUUACAACAUUUCCUUGUUUCUUUUCUUUUCUUUUUUUAAUGUAUAUUUCUUGAGAGAGAGAGAGAGAGAGAGAGAGAGAGAGCGCACACUCACACAAGCAUGAGCUAGGGGAGGGGCAGGGAGAGAGGGAGAGAAUGAAUUCCAAGCAGGCUAUGUGCUGUCAGCUCAGAGACUGAAGCUAGUCUGGAACUCACAAAAUGUGAGAUCAAGACCUGAGCCGAAAUCAAGAGUUUGAAGCUUAACCGAACGAGCCACCCAGCCACCUCAUCAUCUCCUUGUUUCUCACAUUUUCCUUCAUUCAUUUUCAAAAGUCCUUUUCUUUUUUUUCCAUUAAAAACUCAACCAUUCUUCAAGGUAUCAGCUUAAAUCCUAACUCUUAAGAGAAGUCUUCCCUGACUACUUAAUUUAAAUAUGAAUCCACACAUAUUAUUAUUUUCUUUGAGAGUACACUAAUGCUUUCCUGAAGCCAUCUGUCGCAUUUAUAAGUAUUGCUUGUGUGAGUCCUCAACUGUUAAGUUUACACCUUCCUUUACAAAUUGUACGUUCAUAAUGUCAGUGGUCAUAUGUGUUUUGUUUAUUCUUCUCUAUCCAGGGUCUAUCAUAAUGUCUUAUACAGAGUGUGAAAGAUGUUUUCUAGAAAUGAAUGAGCAUUGGGUUUUAUAGUCCAUCACAAUGAGGAAAAUCCUAUCUCUUGUUUGCGACUUUCUCUUGCAUAAUAAGUAUUUCACAAUUGUCUAUUACUUACUAAGUAAUAGCAUUUGGGCUAUUACUGAGUUCUUCCAACUGCCAAAGAUAAGGAUGCCUGUGUUUGAUAGAAUAAUUUAUUAUUACUAUUUCCUCCAACAGUCUUAGUGUAAAUACAAAAUAAAAUAAAGACCAAUUUUUAUCUUCCUAAAGUUUUCUUAUCCUUGUGGAUUAAUUUUAGAGGCUAACAUUUAGAUAAAUGUGUCUACUGAGAUUUUUUCUUUUGAUUUCACUUUAUCUAAUUUUAUAGGCCCAAGAGACUUCAUAGUGCUUAAUUAAUUUCAAUGGUCAAAUUUCUAAUCUUUCCAUUUUCCCUAAGUAGGUCUUUAAAGG